rnacentral:lncRNA from 10 species
AACUACUCCAAUUGAACCGCUUUAACUAGAGAUUCCUCCCAUCCCAGCAUGUGUCUCUAUGCAAUAUGAAUUUAUGUUCCUAGCAUCAUUCUAUUUUCCAGCCCCUCAAAUCUGGAAUGCUGCCAUAACAAGAACCUAAAGCAUUUGCUGUUGGCUUUGUGACUAUGCAGCAGGAGAAAGCUGGGAAGACAAUAAAUAGACUAUUGAUGGAAACUGAAAGAACUGUAAAGAACUCAUAAGCAUAAAACAUAAAUUUCUGGAAACAGAAUUCACUUCUCAGAAGGAGGGCAAGACGGGUAAUUCAACAAACAAAUUCACGUUUGAUUAAGGCCUACCAAGGUGCUGUAUGAUAUUCUGUUGUGGUGGUGAACAAGUGGCAGCAAGCCCUCAGUCAGCCAAUUGAACACAAUGACUGUCUUUCCAUUCUCCUCCACCCUGCUUUGUGACCUGGAACAGUGUCCUUCAAGGGACUACACCAUCUGGGCUGCACCAAGCCUGGGAGAUGCACCAGCAGAUCUUCUUCUAAAAGGCAGGAGGAGAGGACAGCCAGAGUCUUCAUACCCUGGUUCCUGACUAUGUAGCGCGUCUAUAGCCAAUGCUGUGCGGCCCUCUUCAAAGUGCUCUCUCUUAUAAGUUCUGCCACUUGCUACCUCCCCAUGUCUGCCAUGGUGGCACAGUCACCAUCCAUCUACCCAUGACUGCUAGACAUGCAUCAUUCUUUCUUGGUUUCCCUUAGAUCUUUCUAAAAUUAUUCUUCAUUGAACUCUGACAAAUUAUCCCUUUUGAGUGAGUCAUAGCUGCCCUUUAUGAAGUCUAAAUAUUGAGCUAAACUGAAUAUUUGUGGCACAAAAUUAUUUAUAAAAAUAGAAAAUAUAAUUCUAACUAAGAUAAAAUUUUGUUUGGAAAUUAUAAGUACAGCUAUAAAAAUGUUUACAUUUGGUCAUUUUACCUAAUAAAUACACACGUAAAUUGAUAUGAUUUGGAUAUUUGUCUCCAUCCAAAUCUCAUGUACAAAUGAAAUUCCCGAUGUUGGAGGUGGGGCAUGGUAGGAGGUGUUUGGGUGAUGGAGGCGGAUCCUUCAUGGUUUGGUGCUGUCCUUGUCAUAGUGAGUGUGUUCAUGCAAGAUCUGGUUCUUUGAAGAUGCGUGACACCUCCCCACCCCCUUGUUCUUGCUUUUGCCAUGUGACAUGUCUGCUACCCCUUCACCUUCCAUUAUAAGUAAAUACUUCCUGAGGCCUCGCCAGAAGC